GGCAAGUCCGAGCGGACAGAAGGGAGCUUGCUCCCGGAUGUUAGCGGCGGACGGGUGAGUAACACGUGGGUAACCUGCCUGUAAGACUGGGAUAACUCCGGGAAACCGGAGCUAAUACCGGAUAGUUCCUUGAACCGCAUGGUUCAAGGAUGAAAGACGGUUUCGGCUGUCACUUACAGAUGGACCCGCGGCGCAUUAGCUAGUUGGUGAGGUAACGGCUCACCAAGGCGACGAUGCGUAGCCGACCUGAGAGGGUGAUCGGCCACACUGGGACUGAGACACGGCCCAGACUCCUACGGGAGGCAGCAGUAGGGAAUCUUCCGCAAUGGACGAAAGUCUGACGGAGCAACGCCGCGUGAGUGAUGAAGGUUUUCGGAUCGUAAAGCUCUGUUGUUAGGGAAGAACAAGUGCAAGAGUAACUGCUUGCACCUUGACGGUACCUAACCAGAAAGCCACGGCUAACUACGUGCCAGCAGCCGCGGUAAUACGUAGGUGGCAAGCGUUGUCCGGAAUUAUUGGGCGUAAAGGGCUCGCAGGCGGUUUCUUAAGUCUGAUGUGAAAGCCCCCGGCUCAACCGGGGAGGGUCAUUGGAAACUGGGAAACUUGAGUGCAGAAGAGGAGAGUGGAAUUCCACGUGUAGCGGUGAAAUGCGUAGAGAUGUGGAGGAACACCAGUGGCGAAGGCGACUCUCUGGUCUGUAACUGACGCUGAGGAGCGAAAGCGUGGGGAGCGAACAGGAUUAGAUACCUUUGAAUAGUCC
rnacentral:rRNA from 1 species